rfam:Clostridium sp. CAG:299 genomic scaffold, scf184
AAGAACAUUCGGUAGGUGAGGCUACCACAGGGAUAAGGGUUACUGCCGGUUAAAAGUGGAGACACUUCUAAUCAGGUUAGCAGUCUGUGUCGGAUUAAGGCGCAGAAUAAUGUAAUUUUCAGGCCCUGUGAAGCUAAAGCUUGAACGGAUAGUGAUA